UUCCAGGAACAACAGAUGCGACCUACGGUAAGCAUUUUCAUUACUAAUCUAUCAAGAGAGCAAAUUAAAAAAAAAAAAAAAAUAACGGAAAGAAGAUACUGAACUGACCUUGUGGUUGUUUUUACUUGUUCUCCAUUAUUAACUAGGAAGGGAAGUGGUGACAUAUGAGAACCCAACUCCUUACAUAGGAAUUCACAGGUUUGUAUUUGUUCUCUUCAGGCAAAGACAUAGAAGAUCUGUCAGCAACAUACCUAAUUCAAGAGAUCAAUUCAAUACCAGAAACUUUGCAGACGAUAAUAAUCUUGAUCGCCCAGUUGCUGUUAACUUCUUCAAUGCUCAAAGACAAACAGCACCAAGAAGACGGUACUGAAGGAAACUAAUAAUUUGCAAGUGUAUUAUGAAGUUAAUCUUUCGACUAGACUAGAGAUGAAGUUAAUUUGGAAAUUGUACUUAAUAAAA
rnacentral:lncRNA from 1 species